rnacentral:sRNA from 1 species
GAUGAAGCGAGGAGGUGGGAUAUGCAUCAGUUUUAUCAGCGGUAUUUUACCGCAACUGAAAAGUUGUCCUGGUUAUAUUGGUUAAGCGCCUCCCGGCGUUUAGCAAUGCUGGAAGAACUGAUGCAGUGGGAGUUGAGUGCUCCGUAACUGAAUUGCCGACAUCAUGUGUGACUGAGUAUUGGUGUAAAAUCACCCGCCAGCAGAUAAUACCUGCUGGCUUUUUU